ACUUUGAAGGGUGUAUCUUGUAUCCCUGGUCCCUUCCUCUCUGUCUCUGCUUCCUGGCUGUCAUGAGAAGGACCUCAGCCUGGAAACGUUGCUGGAGCCCCUGAAGGUGAGCAUCGUAGGCUCAGGGAACUGGGCAUCAGCAGUUUCAAAAAUCAUUGGGAACAAUGUGAAGACCAUGAAGAAGUUUGCUUCCCCAGUCAAGAUGUGGGUAUUUGAAGAAAUAGUCAAUGGGAGGAAACUGACAGACAUCAUCAACAGUGACCACGAAAAUGUAAAGUACCUGCCUGGACACAGGCUGCCCGAGAACGUGAUGGCCACCCCGAGUCUCAGCCAGGCUGUGCAAGAUGCAGACCUGCUGGUGUUUGCUUUCCCACAUCAGUUCAUUCGAACCAUCUGUGACGAGAUUGCUGAAGUAGUGCCCAGGAAGGCCCGAGGCAUCACCCUCAUCAAGGGCAUAGAUGAGGGUCCCGAGAACCUGAAACUUAUCUCUGACAUCAUCCGAGAGAAGGUGAACAUAGACAUCAGCGUGAUGAUGGGGGCCAACUUAGCCAACGAGGUGGCCGAAGAGCAGUUCUGUGAGUCCACCAUUGGCAGCAAGGUGCUGCAGAAUGGCCUUCUCUUCAAAGAGCUGUUUCAGACCCCCAACUUCCAAGUCACUGUGGUAGAGGAUUCAGACACAGUGGAGCUGUGUGGGGCUCUAAAGAACAUUGUCGCCAUGGGGGCCGGCUUCUGUGACAGCUUCUGCGGAGGAAACAGCACCAAGGCUGCUGUCAUCCGCCUGGGCCUCAUAGAGAUGAUUGCUUUUGUCAGGGUUUUCUCCAAGGGCCAGGUGUCCACAGCCACUUUCCUGGAGAGCUGCGGGGUGGCUGACCUUGUCAGUACCUGCUAUGGGGGGCGGAACCGAAAGGUUGCAGAAGCCUUCGCCAGGACUGGAAAAAGCAUUGAGGAGUUGGAGAAGGAGAUGCUGAAGGGACAGAAGCUGCAAGGGCCACACACCUCUGCCCAGGUGUACCACAUCCUCAAGCAGAAGGGGCUGUUGGACAAGUUUCCGCUGUUCACAGUUGUGUAUCAAAUCUGUUUCGAGGGCAGACCAGUCACAGAGCUGAUACCUUGUCUACAGAACCACCCAGAGCACAGGCAAAGGGAACAGGGGGCAGGUACAGCUUUACCUCACCUAUCUCAGGAUCACACGGAAACCAAGACGUGACAAUGAGAUCGUUACCUGGCUUUCUCCCAUCUUGGACACAUAUGAAUUAGUAUGGCUUCAUUUCUGGGUCAUGAGAGAUAGCUCACUGACGGAUAACACUGGGUAACAACUACACAUACACAGUGAAUGUGAGAAAAACAGAGCAAAGGAAAAGAAAAUACAGUUUGAUAGUUGAAUCAGGA